rnacentral:tRNA from 1 species
GCCUGGGUGGCUCAGUUGGUUGGGCAUCUGACUUUGGCUCAGGUCAUGAUUUCACAGUUCGUGAGUUCAAACCUCAUAUCAGGCU